CUCGCUCGCUCGCGCCUGCUGCCAGCAUGACUCAUCCCCACCAGCUCUGACCAGCUCUGCACCCCGCCCUUGUCUCCCAGCAAUUAUAUCCCAUUCCGACACUCUUAUCGAGAGACAAUGAGAGGGCAUGACCCACCAACCAAUGGGCCAAGGGAUCUAGGGAAAAAUCCCAAAGAGGUCCGCUUGAGGGCCGGGUGGGGGUGGAGAUGCUGGGCUUGUGCAGGAGGGUCUAUUGACCGCUAGUUUAUCCACCUCACAGAGGACGAGGCAAUGCCAUGCUUGAUCAGAGGGUUCAAGACUCUCCCCCCCACCCCGUUCUGGAAGUUAGAGGGCGGGAGGGCAGAGUGGGUGUCCUAAGAUUUCUCCAGGACACAGCUGGCAGAUGCCACGGAGCACUGGCUGGCUGAGAGGGGAGGAGCCUGAGCUUUGGAGCAGCGAGUCCUCUGUGCCCUUGAUCAAUCCUUUGAGUGUUUAAGCCCACGAUGUCCUUUCUUGUCAUCUCCAUGGCUUCCCUUUGAGCUCCCUCUCCACAAAAUGGCCAGUGCGGAAAAUGGAUUAAAGAGAGGCACAUUGGUGGCUGUGCUCGGAUGGACUAACUUCGGUCUUGGCCAACGGUCUUGUUUUCCCUGCCUCUGGUUGCCAGGGCAACAAGUGGAGAGGACCGCAGCCAGGGAGACUUUAGCUGCCUUUUCAAGGCGCCCUGGACAUAAACAGCACUUUCCAUAAUGGAAGCCCUGCAUCAAGGUUUUAAAAAGCCGAACAAUACAGAGCAAGAGGCUGAGAGGGAAGAAGGUUGGGGUGGGGCAAGGAACCCCCACUGGUCAGUGUGAGAGGCAAGGAGAAGAGACACACAUCAGCCCCUCCUUCAGAGUUCUAGCCCUCUGUCUGACCCCUGGUUCCAGACCCCGCUGCCCCAAUGCCUCCUGUGAUGCCAGAGACUCCCACAGCCAUGCCUCUGCCCGGGACAUAGGGUGUCCAUCUCCGAGAGAUACAGGGAACUUUAGGAUAGACCUCACCCUCUGGAUGAAAGAUGCUCUCAUAACGGUGGGGAGAUGGCUCCGUGAAUAGAGAGUCUGCCUUGCAAGAAUGAGGAUCUGAGUUCCGUCUCCAGUACUCAAAUAAAAACCUUGACAUGGCAUGAUAAAGUCUAUAACCUCAGCUCUAGAUGGUGGAGAACAGAGGAUCAUUGGUGGCUCUUUGGUAGCCAGCAGUCCAGCCCAUCAGUGAGCUCCAGGCUCAGCAAGAGACCCUGUUUCAAAAAGUAAGGUGAAGACUGAUUGUUCAAAAAUCUGCAUCCUGAAUUUUUGGGAAAUAGCAGAUGUAAAGAUUAUAGGAUGGGGCCGGGCAUUGGUGGCGCACACCUUUAAUCCCAGCACUUGGCGGGCGGAGGCAGGCAGAUCUCUGUGAGUUCGAGACCAGUCUGGUCUACAGAGAGAGCUCCAGGACAGGCUCCAAAGCCACAGAGAAACCCUGUCUUGAAAAAAAAAAAAAAAAAAAAGAUUAGAGGAUGGCCAUGGCUCCUCUGGCCCCCAUGGCCAUCUUGGCCACCAAGCACAGCUUCACAGACCAGCUGAUUCACCACAAGGGUGUAAAGAGACUUACUGUCUGCUGUCCCCAGUCCUAGUGAAUGGAGACUGUCUGGGAAGUAGGCCACCAUAGAGCUUAGCCAGUCAGGACUGGGUGACAUAGGUUAGGGGAAGGUAGCGGGUGAGGCACAGGCACAGAACAGCUGGGGUUCUGGCCAGAGGGAGUUGUGGUCCCAGAGCAGCAGGCUGAGUGUAUCCUGGGUUGAGUGGACAGCAGUGGAUGAAAUGGGGGUGGGGGAGGGCAGCCUCAGAGCCAGUCAGCAGGCCGGGGCCAGGGCUAGCCUGGAACCCAGCAGGUGACAGUUGAGAAGAUCUCACUGUCCCCAUCUGAGAAGGCUGAAAAAGGGGAGCUCUAGGAGAGGGGUGGGGGGAGCAAAAUGAGGACAGAAGGGGUUCUGAGGGCUGCAGUUAAGAUUUGGUCAAAAAAUGAAUUUAAAUUUUAAAAAUUCUGGGCUGUUUCCUCAGCUCACUAGCCCACUUCCCUUCUUAGGGGUGCUACGCCUCCCCAGGCCUUAUAAAGUCUGUACUAGUGCUUUGCCUGCCUGAAUGUAUGUAUGUGUGUAUGUAUGUAUGUAUGUAUGUAUGUAUGUACGUACGUACGUACGUACGUACGUAUGUAUGUGUACCUCGUGUGUGCCUGGUACCCAAGAAGACCAGAAGGAGGCACUGGACUCCCUGGAAGCGGAGUUAUGGAAGGCUGUGAGCCAUCAUGUAGGUUCUGGGAACCGAACCCAAGUCUUCUGCAAGAGCAGCCAGUGCUCUUAACCUCUGAGCCAUCUCUCCAGCCCCUGCUUGCCCGUUUAUUAAUGAGCUAUUUCUUGUCUGUGUCUAAAAGGCAUGCCUUUUUCUCUGUCUUUUCCUGGUGGCUGCUGGGAUUUUUGCCUAACCUGUGUUUUCUCUUAAACUCUAGUAAAGUAGUCCUUGGGCUUAGAAUAAAAACAAAAACCCAGCCCCAAACCAGCUGCUCUAAGAUGGCAAAGAAGGGCUGAGGGGUGAACAGGAGAUGAGAGGGGCUGGGGUAAGCAUGGGCCCUCGGGGGAAGCCAGGGGCUUUGUGAAAGACAGACCAAGGCACGUAUCCAGGCAGAUGCCAGGACAGUAUGGGUCUCUGUCCACCCCACCUAGGUUCCAACCUCUACCCAGGGCCUCCCAUCUUGACUGUAAGAUCAAUUACAUUGGACUCAGCCUUUAGGGUCAGCCAUCAGCUCCUGCCUCUUGUUCUCUGGGGAGGCAGCUCAUGGUUCCUCAGAUGUUGGUACCAUUGAUAGAGUAUGUGGAUUUUUUAAUUUUUUAACUCGUGGCUUAGGAAUAUGCAGUCAUCCUUCCGGGCAGCCUGUCCUAGGGUAAAGGGAACCUGGAGCGUCUGGCUUGGAUUUGAAGCCCCCUCCUAGCCCAGUGCUCAUUGACAUCUGUGAAGGAGACAAUGCACACGAGGCUUGUUCCCCUUGAACAUGUGCUGGGAGCAGAGGGGUUCAAGGAUGUCCUCCAGGCACCCCCAAGGCACCAAAGCUGUCCCAGGGAAGUGAGGACCAUCUGGGAGCUGAUGACAGCAGGGGCUUUAAGAAAACAUAAAACCUCUUGCUGUUUUAUUUCCCAGAAGCAAGGGAAGCUGACAUAUUAGCAUUAGGAAUACCAAGUUCAUCUGAGGAGAUGGAUGGGGGGUGGGCCAUUUCAUCAUCCAGGUGGCCAAACCCUAAGGGAGAAGACUUACCGCGACCUUCACAUGCACCCAGUGUUGGAGACACUUUCAUUUCCUUCACUACACCCCUGUGAAGGGACAGGAGGG
rnacentral:lncRNA from 1 species